rnacentral:lncRNA from 1 species
CCAUUACAUUUUAUAUUGCCACAUAUCUGAUAUUUUACCAUGACAUACAGAGAAUGUGGUGGUAAAUGUGAGUAACAAUGUGCUUUCUUACUGGAUGGAAGCAACUAGGUGCUUUGUCUUACUACAAGAAUUUCACCUUUCAUGUCAUGGAGUAGUAGGUGCUACCUUUUCUCCUUUGAGGAAAAAAGAGUGGUUGAUGCUAGGUGCUACAAGGAACGUUGUGCCUAGAAAAGUGGCAAUUUAUAUAGCUAGACCAAGCACGAAGACAACAAGGAUGGGACAUGCACUUAUGAUAUUUCACAUGCCUGGAAGAUUUUCAGUGCCAACGAAGGCAUGAUUCUAUUCGUAGUUGUAAUGAAGUUUCACUUUAAAGCAUAUCAUAUCUAUAGGAGCGGAUUACCAAGUACUCCUAUGUCCCAUCAUGAUGCCAUCGAUCAGUUUUCCUUCUUUGUCGAUGUUCUUGAAAGUAGAUAUCAGGUGGAAGAUCUGAUGAUUUCUCCAAUUUUUCAUAUGCAUCACCAGUGUUGUGUUUUCCUUUUUUUCUAUAUCAAAUUUCUAGUUUUGUUCUUCUCAUGUUCUGUAGUGAAAUGUUCACUACAAUUAUUUAUAUGUGAAACAAUUUUGUUUUGAACGAUCAUCGAGGGGAGAGGUUCUCCAUCUGAAUAUAUUAUGAGAAAACAUAAUUUGUCAUUAGAUCAGGGAAGAGACCGGAGCUUAGAAGAGAGAUGCAAUAGCAACGAUGUUAUAAUAAAUCUGAGGCGUGUAGUCGAUCAUCUGAGGACCAAACAACCACACAAACAUGACACCGAGAUUUGUUAAUGAGGUUCACUGAUAUGGC